rnacentral:lncRNA from 1 species
AGAUCAGCCCUGGGGUUCAGAGGGAUCCUGACAGCUACUCCUCAAGAUCCUCUCUGUUGUGAUUCAUCCCCCCGGGGCCCUACAGUUUCUCCUUCCUGACUCUUACAUUUCUUUGGAUGGCAUCAUUAUUUUAGGUGCCAAGCACUGUGGAUUCUGCCUCUCAGUGUCCAGACACCCAUUUUCCUUCCCACUGUUCCUUCCCCAUGGAGAAGCCUGUGGCUGGCUGACAGCAGAGAGAGAUGCUCAACUUGGAGAAGGUGUUACCUGGGCCAGGUGGGGAAGGUUUGUUUGCAGAGCAAAGAAGUGAAGAUCCUCAUGUGACAGGUGACCUGCCAUAUAAUCAGAAGGAAGAAAUGUUACACAGAGAGGCUGAGAAGAAUCUGAGGACUUGCUAAGUUUUCCCCAGUUUAUUACCAUUAGAUCAUAUGCCUUUUUUGUUCAAUCAUACUUCUAUACAACUGUCCAUCAUUCAUUAAACCUAACCACAAAAGUAGUUUUCACUCGGUUUUUGAGUGAAGGCUCCUGUGUCAC